UUGUGUAAUUCCAAUUUAACUAUAUGAUUAUUUUACAAGCAUUAUUUAGUUCGCAAUGUAGCGUUAUUUCUUUAUGUUAGCGGUCACAUCACACCGACAAGUGUAUAGGUCAUAGGUUGGCGUUCCAGCUCUAAGGAUGACCCCAGCUGGCCCCUUCAAACAUUAUUUCGGGUAUGAACAUGAUGAAGGAACACUAUGAUAGAUCCACAGACAUCCAACAGGUCAAUUGGAUUGCUUCAACACAUCAGAGAAUUCUACUUGCGACAAGUGAUUUAAAGUCAGUAACCGAAGCCGUUCAGCCACGGAUACCUCUAGUAUUUAUUUAACAUGGAUUCUGCGAUGUAGACUAUAAAAAGAUCCUUUGGAAGCAGAGAAUGCAAACAAUAAUAAUAAUAGCAGACUCGGUUGGAUUGAGUCUGUUCAUGAGAGGAUGCCUUCAUGCCUUUAAUCUAUGCAAUUUAAAACAACACGUGCGCCCCCUGGUGACAUAUUGAUACAUCCGGGUGAUAUGUUGAAGCUCUGUAUCUUAUUGCACGCGAAUCCAUGGAAAUUGUGGCAGACAUUAAUGUAAUAGUGAUACAAGCUCGACGAAGCGAGCGCUUUUACUGGCGCUGAAGGAUGACCAACACUGGACCGCAGAUGGAAGAAGAUGAGCCGACAUCUAAGGCAUUCCAAAUGUCUCCGCAGCAAGCCUACGGACAUAGAUACAGCGUUCAAAGAAGGAU